GGCAUGCCUUACACAUGCAAGUCGAACGCGAAAGUCCUUUCGGGGGCGAGUAGAGUGGCAAACGGGUGAGUAACGCGUGGGAACAUACCUUCAGGUACGGAAUAGCCUCGGGAAACUGGGAUUAAUACCGUAUGAUGUCUUCGGACCAAAGAUUUAUCGCCUGAAGAUUGGCCCGCGUCAGAUUAGCUAGUUGGUGGGGUAACAGCCUACCAAGGCAACGAUCUGUAGCUGGUCUGAGAGGACGAUCAGCCACAUUGGGACUGCGACACGGCCCAAACUCCUACGGGAGGCAGCAGUGGGGAAUAUUGGACAAUGGACGAAAGUCUGAUCCAGCAAUGCCGCGUGAGUGAUGAAGGCCUUAGGGUUGUAAAGCUCUUUAAGUAGGGAAGAUAAUGACGGUACCUACAGAAUAAGCACCGGCUAACUUCGUGCCAGCAGCCGCCGUAA
rnacentral:rRNA from 1 species